rnacentral:rRNA from 1 species
GACGAACGCUGACGGCGUGCUUAACACAUGCAAGUCGAAGGGAGUGGCGAACGGGUGAGUAACACGUGAGUAACCUGCACUUUUCUUUGGGAUAAGCCUGGGAAACUGGGUCUAAUACUGGAUGGAUUGGGAUGGGCUCGAGGCUUAUUAUCGUGUUGGUGGGGUGAUGGCUUACCAAGGCUGUGACGGGUAGCCGGCCUGAGCGGGUGGUCGGGCACACGGGUACUGAGAUACGGCCCAGACUCCUACGGGAGGCAGCAGUGGGGGAUACUGCACAAUGGACGAAAGUCUGAUGCAGCGACGUCGGGUGGGGGAUGAAGGCCUUCGGGUUGUAAUAUCCUUUCGCCCGCGGCAUGGUAGUGGGUAAAGAAGCGCCGGCUAACUACGUGCCAGCAGCCGCGGUAAUAC